GGAUGAACUCCUGCGCGUGGAACCCGUACAGAGGCUGCGAAACGGGACCCCCGGCACCCCCAUGGCCUCCGCCAUCACCUUCAUGGACUCGGCGGGCAGCAGCGUGUGGCUCAGCUUCAGCUUCUUCUCCUCCGCCAUCUCCGCGCUCUCCCCGAGCCCCCCGAAACCGCGGGGAGCCCCCAAAAAGGCGCGGCGGGGCCGCGGGAGGAGCGCGGGGAGCCCCGGCCGCUCCUCAAGCCGCUGCCGCCGCCGCCAUCUUGGCGCGGCCCCUCAGAGCCGCCGCCAUCUUGAGGACCCGCCUCCCGCCGCCACGGGUCCUGGACGGCGCCGGGUUUGUAUGAAAAAAAUCGGGGUUGAAUCGUCAUGGAGUUGAUUUGAGAUAGCAGCGACAAUAAUAUUGCGAUAUAGCAGUGCGAUGUGGAGGUAAAUCUGGGUUUGUUGGAAGUGCGGGAGGUAGCGGUGUUCGCGGGUCACUAUGCUCCUGUCAGGACCUGCGAAGAGGCGGGAAAAGGAGGCGUGGUGGUGGUAGCGCGCAUGCGCAGGCUGAGGGAGCGCGGGGACAUUGGGACCUUCCAACCAUCGCCCCCUCCCCAAAUCUGCUGGAACUCACCCAAAAAUUCCCCCUCAAAACACCCCCAGCCCCCCUCAAACCGCCUCGAGAUGCCCUAAAUCCUUCUAGGCCCACCCCAAACCCCCCUUAAGCCCCUAAAUCCCCUUUAAUUCCAGCAACCCUCCCAAAAAUCCCCUUUAACUCCCCCAAUUCCCCUCCAAACUCCCCCGAAUCCCCUUUAAAUCCACUUCAAUGCCCGCAAAUCCCCUUUAAACCCCCCCAGACCCCCUUAAACCCCCUCAAAUUCCCUUGAAUCCCCCCCAGAUCCCCUCCAAACCCCCUCAAAUUCCCCCAGAUCCCCUUUAAACCCCCCAAUC